rnacentral:tRNA from 1 species
GGAGAGGUGGCCGAGUGGCUGAAGGCGACGGUUUGCUAAACCGCUAUAGGGAGUCAAAUCCUUAUCCCGGGUUCGAAUCCCGGCCUCUCCG